rnacentral:lncRNA from 1 species
GGGCAGGGCAGUUCCAAUCCAUCUUCCCGUUGUCUCGUGUUUCACGUCAUCGGCCAUCUCAGCCUCUCGACGUCAUCGUGGAUUUUUUCGCCUGAGGAACCGGCCUUCGCAUCCACAGCUAUCGCCGCGUUCACCCGGCAGACAUCGCCUGCGACUGCCUUGUCUCUGAUGCCUAUUUUCUGAGGAUCUACCGUUUGAUGUUGAGAAGCAGCAGUGAGAAGAUAUCUCAGGGCAUUUUGUUCAGCAGAGUGUUUCAAAUAAGGGUUGCGGUCACUGUGCGAGUUAGUCUCCUGCUGCGUGUCAGAGUGUUUCAAAUAAGGGUUGCGGUCACUGUGCGAGUUAGUCUCCUGCUGCGUGUCAGAGUGUGUCUGUCUGUGAGAGUCGGUGGGUCAGGGUCUGCUUGUGUGCAUGUGUGUCGAGUGGUUCUAACCUCGUAUGUAUGGCUUUUGCUUUCCAGGACUUGCAAUUCACUUUUAAAUUUAGAAUAAAAAAUCCCCAGCUGGGGGGUUUUUUUUUUUUUCCCUCCCAGCUGGGGUUUUUUUUCCUCGGUCCCGGCCGGUCUGCGAGGCGACAGUCAUCGCCAAAGUUUGGGCACGGGCCGGCCCCGGACCGAGGUUUUCGUCAGGCAGGCUGAAUUUGAGGCCCCCCGGGAACCGAGUUCCCGUGGGGUAGGAGGGGGGUGUGUGUUUGUGUCGAGUGGUUCUAACCUGGUAUGUAUGGCUUUUGCUUUUCAGGACUUGCAAUUCACUUUUAAAUUUAGAAUAAAAAAUCCCCAGCUGGGGGGGUUUUUUUUUUC